GAUGAAGAACGCAGCGAAAUGCGAUAAGUAAUGUGAAUUGCAGAAUUCAGUGAAUCAUCGAAUCUUUGAACGCAUCUUGCGCUCCUUGGUAUUCUGAGGAGCAUGCCUGUUUGAGUGUCAUUAAAUUCUCAACUACACUGACUUUGAAUUGGUGUGGCUUGGAUUUGGGGGGAAAAUUGUUGUGGGCUUUUUGUAUAGUCUGCUCCCCUGAAAUUGAUUAGCGGUACCUUUGUGGAACUGUCUACAGGUGUGAUAACUAUCUACAUCUUAGACAUCUGCUGGAAUGCUGCUUUCUAAACCUUACUUGUAUUGACAAUCUUGACCUCAAAUCAGGUAGGACUACCCGCUGAACUUAAGCAUAUCAAUAAGCGGAGGA
rnacentral:misc_RNA from 1 species